rnacentral:rRNA from 1 species
UACGGAGGGGGAGCGAGCGUUUAUUCGGAAUUAUUGGGCGUAAAGGGCGCGUAGGCGGCUGAACAAGUCAAAGGUGAAAUCCCUCGGCUCAACUGAGGAACUGCCUUUGAAACUGUUUGGCUUGAGACCGGGAGAGGUGAGUGGAAUUCCCAGUGUAGCGGUGAAAUGCGUAGAUAUUGGGAGGAACACCAGUGGCGAAGGCGGCUCACUGGACCGGUACUGACGCUGAUGCGCGAAAAGCGUGGGGAGCAAACGGG